rnacentral:rRNA from 1 species
UGAGGAACAUGACUUUCGGCGGGGGAUAGCCGGCCCAACGGCCGGGUAAUACCGCGUACGACCACAUGGGGACAUCCCUGAGUGGUGAAAGCAGCAAUGCGCCGAUGGAGUGCCUCGCGGCCUAUCAGCUAGUUGGUGAGGUAACGGCUCACCAAGGCGACGACGGGUAGCUGGUCUGAGAGGAUGGCCAGCCACAUUGGGACUGAGACACGGCCCAGACCUCUACGGGGAGG